CUCAGAAACAGUUAGCUAUCAUCACACCUUUUUUGUGCUCAAAAUAAAUCUGUUUACUCGUGAGCUCAUGUUUCUUGGUGUUUUUGUGGUCAAUUUAAAGCAGGUCAACAUUUUAUCCCACAGUACCCAUCUGCUAAUGAUGGCCUAAAAAGGAAGCGUUUUUACAGGUUCGACUUCCCCCAUUGCUCUGCCUUCAAGAGGAUGUCAGAUGCUUAAAGAAAACACAGAAAGAGGAAGACACAGAGAGGGAGAGAAAGAAGCACAUGGUUGAGAGGUGCUUUAUUUAUUCCAGUCAGUUCUUCCUCCUCCGAGUCCAGAAUGCAGAUUCCCAAAGCUGGAUGUAUCGCGCUUUAUGCCAUGACUUUUGUUCAUCUUUGGGGACGAGUUUUUACCUCGACGUCCCCGGCCCCUCUUCCAACACCGACCUUGAAAGUCAAAGCCAGGUCAAGCCAGUCUGUGGUUCUGAUUUGCCAGGCCCCAAAAGGCAACCAUGGAGUUCUGUUCAAGCUGUUCCAGGAAAGAGAGGAGGUGGACUUGGUGAACUUACAGUAUGGGGCUGAAGAGGUUCAGUUCACCGUCAGGGUGGACACAAAAAAGCCUAAAAUCUUCUGCUGUCUGUACAAGGACCAGCAGGGACUCUACAGUUUAAUAAGUCCCUACUUGGAUCUAGACGACCACAACGAUGAUGCCCCUACUGUCUUGCCUUCAAUCCCCCCUCCGCUCUUGUCUGUGGAUCCCCCCACAGACGUGGUAAAACCAGGAGCCACACUCCAUUUCAGCUGCAGCAUCCCCACUCAUCAAUCCCAGUCUCAAUCCCAGUCCCAGAAGCCAUCUUCUUUUCUCCUGCUGAGGACCGCUCAGCCAACAGGGGUUACGUCGGUCAUCCUAAGCCCGAAGGCCAGUCGGGUUUCAGACACCCCGCUGCCUGGGGUUUUCACAGUGGGACCGGUGAGGAAAGGAGAUGAGGGCGAGUACAUACCAGAUUACCAAAAGACGAGGAUUGGUUAA
rnacentral:lncRNA from 1 species